rnacentral:rRNA from 1 species
CCUACGGGAGACUGCAGUGAGGAAUAUUGGUCAAUGGGCGCUAGCCUGAACCAGCCAAGUAGCGUGAAGGAUGACUGCCCUACGGGUUGUAAACUUCUUUUAUAUGGGAAUAAAGUGCAGUAUGUAUACUGCUUUGCAUGUACCUUAUGAAUAAGGAUCGGCUAACUCCGUGCCAGCAGCCGCGGUAAUACGGAGGAUCCGAGCGUUAUCCGGAUUUAUUGGGUUUAAAGGGAGCGUAGGCGGGUUGUUAAGUCAGUUGUGAAAGUUUGCGGCUCAACCGUAAAAUUGCAGUUGAUACUGGCAGCCUUGAGUACAGUAGAGGUAGGCGGAAUUCGUGGUGUAGCGGUGAAAUGCUUAGAUAUCACGAAGAACUCCGAUUGCGAAGGCAGCCUGCUAGACUGUAACUGACACUGAUGCUCGAAAGUGUGGGUAUCAAACAGGAUUAGAUACCCUGGUAGUC